UUUCUGCUAGACUAAGCAUUAGUAUAAAUAUGUAUAUAACUAGUUCAAACCACAAUUUUUGGAACCAUAAGAAUUGUUCGCACUUACGAAAUAGUGCUAAUGGGUUAUCCUUUAACCAGGCGCUUCAGAUUGGUAAAGAGCCGCAACGUGAAGUGGUAGAUCAUUUCCACAAGACUCAAGAUGGAGAACCCCAUGAAUAGACCGAAAAUGCCACCGCAAUUCGCCAGAAACUCGGUCAUUCCGUAAAGCUCCGACCGCUUUGAAGUGAUGAACUGACUCUGCUUGAAGUAAAUGGACAAGCGGGACAUCUGGGAGCCGGGAUACUCCUUCAGGAACUCAGUGUCGCCCUCAGCCACUAGCAUUUCUUCCAAAUCAAAGUUGGCCUGGGAAAUCUCCGUGUUGUAGACGAGGGAUGUGCAUGCUGGCAUGCAGUUACAGGCAGAUUCCACGCUCCGCGAAUUUUCUCGGCCAGCGUUCAGCGCUUUUACUCUUUUGAAUUCCCUGACUAACAACUCCCUUUCUGCCCGAUCGUAGCAGUGGAUCUUGUCCUCUCCGCAUACAGGCAUGUCCACGUUUCUGGGCAUCGAGAACUUAACGCAUCCGCACUUGGUCAGCGUGAAGUUGGCCAAGCACUCCAGUUGGCAAUUUGAUUCGGUGUACACCUUAAAAAAACGCAGCGACCGCUCGUGGCUGAGGAAGCACUGCCUCCGAACUGGAUGGUACUCUGCUAUUCCCGACGACAUGGUGAUCAUGUUGGGCUUCACUGCGAUCAGCACCUCCUUGCCCAUGGGAAUGCGCACAAACUGUUUGGAAACCUGCGGGACGUCAUCGGGCGCAUGAAGCAGUACCUGUAGAUUGGCAUUACUGUAGACACAUAUUGGAGCAAGAAAAAGCAAACAGCUACGUUUUCAAAUUUUCCCACCUUAAAUCCCUGCACAGGUCCUCGACAGGCGUAGUCCACCUCCUGCUUAAAGCUUUGGAGGGCCAAGAAAAUGCCAGAUCGCGCUCCGGCACUUAAGACACGAGCCGGAAAGGUCUCCACAUCGCUGUCCAGUGCAUAGCCCGUUUCCAGAGUCCAGGCCGUAUGCUGCGAGCUAAUAUUUUCCAUUUCCAGGGGCUCCCCGCUGUGUUGAUACUGAUAGGUGUCGUCCCGGUAUAUCUCAGUGGCUCUCAGCCCAUUGAACGUAUAGCAGAUGCCCUCCUCCGUAAGAGUCUUUCGGAAGAAGGUCUCGCACUCGCCGAAACGACUAAGCCAGCGGCAGUAAAAGAAGUACCGAUCAAACUGGGGCAGCAUCCGCUGCAGAACAUCAAAGUAGUCCAAGUCAUCGCCGGCUAUCAAGGGUAUGUCCUCUUCAAUGAUCUGCGUGUUGCAUACGUGCAGCAGGGUGCGGAACUCCUCCAUCUCAAGGGCACUAACGUUUUCGGGCCUAAACACCCGCGAAGCUCGCAUAUCUUCGCUGAACUGGCUGUAAAGAUCAGCAUAAGUGGUCUCUUUUCCUGUCAGACAAAGCACCCUUUUGGUCUCCGAGCAAACUGUGACCGCCGGAAACGGGAUGUUCCACACGGGGGUCGAUUUUUCCGCGAAGCUAACGAUCACAGGCUUUAAAAAAACGCAAAAUAUUAGUUUUGUUGUCGGCUGAAGGCAGCAAGAGCACUUUUCAUUUUACAGAAGACCCUGUAGUGUUCUUAUAUUUAUAAAACAUAACAGUUAGGGUGCAUAAUAUAUCGCAUAAUACAUCGCAA
ensembl:ncRNA asRNA:CR44155 antisense RNA:CR44155